rnacentral:rRNA from 1 species
AGAUGUGAAAGCCCGGGGCGUUAACCUCGGAAUUGCAUUUGUAAACUGGCAGGCUAGAGUCUUGUAGAGGGGGGUAGGAAGUUUCAGGUGUAGCGGUGAAAUGCGUAGAGAUCUGAAGGAAUACCAGUGGCGAAGGCGGCCCCCUCGGACAAAGACUGACGCUCAGAUGCGAAAGCGUGGGGAGCAAACAGGAUUAGAUACCCCUGGUAG